rnacentral:ncRNA from 1 species
GCGCAUACCACGGUGGGGUCUUCGACUGGGGUGAAGUCGUAACAAGGUAGCCGUAGGGGAACCUGUGGCUGGAGAAUCCUUC